GACGAACGCUGGCGGCGCGCUUAACACAUGCAAGUCGAGCGAGAACCAGGCCUUCGGGCCUGGGGACAGCGGCGAACGGGUGAGUAACACGUGGGUAAUCAACCCUCGGUACUGGGAUAGCCCGGGGAAACCCGGAUUAAUACCGGAUGGCCCUUCGGAUCUUCGGUUCUGAAGGAAAAGGUAGCUUCGGCCUCCGACCGAGGACGAGCCCGCGGCGGAUUAGCUUGUUGGUGGGGUAACGGCCUACCAAGGCGGCGAUCCGUAGCUGGUCUGAGAGGACGCUCAGCCGAACUGGGACUGAGACGCGGCCCAGACUGCUACGGGAGGCAGCAUUGGGGAAUCUUGCGCUAAUGCGGGAAAGCGUGACGCAGCGACGCCGCGUGAGGGAAGAAGCCCUUCGGGUUGUAAACCUCUUUCAGGAGGGACGAAGCUACUCGGGUUAAUAGCCCAGAGGGUGACGGUACCUCCAGAAGAAGCCCCGGCUAACUACGUGCCAGCAGCCGCAGUAACAC
rnacentral:rRNA from 1 species